CUCACACUUUUUCACUAACGCACUCUUAUUUAUUGCUUGAAUGGCUUUUCAGCAUUGGCGUGCGAAUUUUGUGGAAAUAAAAAAAUACUAAGGUUAUGCAUGGUACAAUGUUAAUCUACAAUGGAAUUACUAUGGAAAAUUUCAGAAGCUAACAAGCAAAGUGUGUGAGGAAAUGGAAAGGCAAAACUGAUUGUGUGUCAUCAGCGUUAUAUCGACGUAUUAGACCUGGAAUACUAUAGCUCGGAACACUUUGACGACUGCAACUUCACGACGUAACGACAGCGACAUCAUUUUGUCGACAAAUGUCGCCUUGAAGCCAGCUUCUUAAACAUUUUGAAG